GAUGAACGCUAGCGGGAGGCCUAAUACAUGCAAGUCGAGCGGUAGAGUGACUUCGGUUGCUUGAGAGCGGCGAACGGGUGAGUAACGCGUACACAAUCUACCUUUAAGAGGGGAAUAGCCCUGGGAAACUGGGAUUAAUGCCCCAUGGCAUCACGAGACGGCAUCGUUUUGUGAUUAAAGCUUGAGGUGCUUAGAGAUGAGUGUGCGUCUGAUUAGCUAGUUGGUGCGGUAACGGCGCACCAAGGCGACGAUCAGUAGGGGGCGUGAGAGCGUGGACCCCCCANACGGGUACUGAGACACGGACCCGACUCCUACGGGAGGCAGCAGUAAGGAAUAUUGGUCAAUGGAGGAAACUCUGAACCAGCCAUCCCGCGUGCAGGAAGAAUGCCCUAUGGGUUGUAAACUGCUUUUAUCUGGGAAGAAAAGUCGGGAUUUAUCCUGAUCUGACGGUACCAGAGGAAUAAGCACCGGCUAACUCCGUGCCAGCAGCCGCGGUAAAG
rnacentral:rRNA from 1 species